rnacentral:misc_RNA from 1 species
GAUGAAGAACGUAGCGAAAUGCGAUAAGUAAUGUGAAUUGCAGAAUUCAGUGAAUCAUCGAAUCUUUGAACGCACCUUGUGCUCCUUGGUAUUCCGAGGAGCAUGCCUGUUUGAGUGUCAUUAAAUUCUCAAUCUCUACAGCCUUUGUGUUGUUUGGAUUGGAUGUGGGGGUUUCUGUGUGGGAUAUGCCAUUCUUCACUCCCCUAAAAUAUAUUAGCUGGAAUGCCUCUGCAUAUCUGACUAUUAGUGUGAUAAUUAUCUACGCUCUAGUUAUUGCAUGGGAGGGUAUCUGCUUCAUUAAUUGUCGAAAAGACAACCUAAUGAUCACCUUUGACCUCAAAUCAGGUAGGAUUACCCGCUGAACUUAAGCAUAUCAAUAAGCGGAGGA